rnacentral:misc_RNA from 1 species
GAUGAAGAACGCAGCGAAAUGCGAUAAGUAAUGUGAAUUGCAGAAUUCAGUGAAUCAUCGAAUCUUUGAACGCAUCUUGCGCUCCUUGGAAUUCUGAGGAGCAUGCCUGUUUGUGUGUCAUUAAAUUCUCAACUACACUGACUUUGAAUUGGUGUGGCUUGGAUUUGGGGGGAAAAUUGUUGUGGGCUUUUUGUAUAGUCUGCUCCCCUGAAAUUGAUUAGCGGUACCUUUGUGGAACUGUCUACAGGUGUGAUAAUUAUCUACAUCUUAGACAUCUGCUGGAAUGCUGCUUUCUAAACCUUACUUGUAUUGACAAUCUUGACCUCAAAUCAGGUAGGACUACCCGCUGAACUUAAGCAUAUCAAUAAGCGGAGGA